CGACCCCCAGCCCGGCCCCGCCGCUCGGCGCCCCCUCCCCUUCCUCUCUUUCCCUCCCCUUCCCAGCAGGGCGAGACGAGGCAUGGGGGCCGGUGGCCGUGGUGGCCCGGCGGCAGGUGUAGGCACACGGCGGCAGCGGCACCCCGCGACCCUUCAGACCCUUCAGGUAAGGGCGGCCGGGUGGGGGGCUCCCACCACCGCCGUGGGGGCCGAGGAGGCGCCCCCGGGCCGCCGGGCGGAGGGCAGGGAGGCCGGGGGCGGCGGGGCGGGCCGGGGCGGGGCCGUGCCGCUGGCUCCCCGGGCGGCGCUGGGGCCCUGCCAGAACCAUUUUGGUUCGCGGGGUGGCGGCAGCGCAGCCCCCGACGGCCCCAGCGCGGGGCUCCCGCUGUCAAACCCGGCGCGGCAGUCCCCGAAAGGCUUAGUGAAGGGGUGUUCUGCCCGGCUAGGCGGCUGUCGAAAGUGUCUUAUUUAUUUUUAUUUUUUAAUCUUUUCGGCCGGCUGUCGGAGCGAGGGAAGCGCCUGCGCCGGCUGGGGCUGCGGCGAGCGUCGAGGAUCGCUGGAAGAGUGAAUUUCUCCUGCCCGAGUAACGGGGAACGGGGCAAACCUGCCGCGGCUCCCAGGUGGAGGUACUGCCAACUGUGCAGCUUGUUAUUCACGCGAGGACUCCUUUAACGUGUUUAACUGGGUCCUCUCGCUCUAGGUGGAUCUUGGAUGAAGAGACUGACCAAAUUAAAAAUAUAUAUGUAUAUAUAUUAAAUAAAGGGAUCUCAGAAUAUGCUUCUGUUUCUGUAUAGAGGAUAUUUUUCUACAUCUCCUGUCCUCCACCUUGGAUUUUGUUGAUGCAUAGUGUUCACCAACAAAUGCUAUUCUGUUUAGAAGACACCUUUUCUGUACCUCCUACAACUAUGGCUUAGGAAGAGUAUCACAGUGCACUUUACUCCUGUCUUAAGGCAGGGUAUGACUGUCUGGUGAUUGCAGAUUUUCAGGGAAUAUGCUGUCUUGAUUAUCAGUUCCUAGACAAUACAGUUUAGUUUUUAUUCCUACGAAGUGGUAGAUACAGAAUGCAGUGCAAGUACCAGGAAAGCACAGAUUUAGAGUAUUAUAUAUAGUGGCCCUGGGUCUUACAAAAUAAAAGUGUGUGUGUAAAGGAUAGUUUGCAUGUCCUAAGACUGUUUUGGUCGGGACUUCUAUGUGUAUACUUAUAAUAUUUUUCUCUCUCCUCUAAACUCUAUUUCCUUUUUUUUUUCUUUUUUUUUUUUUCUUCUUCUUUUUCUUUUUUUUCUUUUUUCUUUCCAACUUAUAUUCAUUAAUCAUAUGAUAAUGGAAUGGGUCGUGUAUUUCUUGUCUCAGAUUGGGUACAGGUUAAAUGGUUUAAAACUCUCAAUACCAUUUAAGAAAGCAAUUGUUUGUUGUUUUUUUUUUUGUUUUUUUUUUUUUUUUUCAUUCCCCUUUGAAUUUAUUAAGAAAUAAAUAAAUAAAUCAUUUUACACUUGCAUACUAACAUUUUGUAGAUAUUUUCUGACAGCUUUUUCAUUUUGAGAUAAGUUUUGAUUAUGUUGCUGAAUUUUGUAGUCUGUAUUAUGAGAGACCAGUGAGUGACUCAGAACAGCCUAGCAGUUGUGGACAGGCAGCCUUCUUUAUUUCCGAAAUUGCUGCAGAAGCACUAACUCUUCCAUGUUGGUUCAUGAAGCAGCUAAAUUAGAAUAGGUCUCAAAAAUUAGAAACAAAAAAUGACAACUCCAAAUUUGAAAGGAAAAUAAUUCACAAAAUUCCAUUUGAGAAUCAAAUUUUUAGUAACAGAUCAGAGACAAGUGAACUUUUUCUUUUCAGAUAACAGUUGCAUUUUUCAAAAAGCACUCCAUGAAUCAAAAAUAUGCUUUGUUUGGCCCUCUUCACAAACAAAUAUUACUGUUGUAAUGCAAACAUAGGCUACUCCUGCCUUGUAACUUCAAACUGGUAAAAAAGGUGAUUCCUGGUAAAACAACCCAAGCAAGAAACACGUGAAUCUGUACUGACAUGCAAGCUCGUUUUUUAUAUCCUUCACUCUGAAAACAAUGCAUUUCAACAGCGGAUCAUGAAUAAGUUUCAGUGUUGGUAUUAACUGAACUAACUAAAGCCCAGUUAACUAAAUGAAAUACAGCACCAUUCAUUGCAAAAAAGAGCAUGUUACAGGAUGCUUUUGAUUGUAAUCAGACAUUAAAUAAUGCUAUCAACUACCAGAGUGUAUCAGAAGAGGCAACUGUUUAGGUAUAUUUUUUAAGUGAGCUAGACAUUCCAUUUUGUCUCCUAAUUUAAACUGGAUUUAAUUCAAGUAAGAAUGGAUUGGAAACCCAACAUCCUUUUUCGUUCAACAUUCCAAAAUUUUUAGGUUUCCUGGACUAGACCAAGAAGUUGAAACUUUUAAACAUUGUGAAAAGUUUGAACUUGGCCCUUCUGAAAAAAAGUAUAUUUUAGCAACAGUGAAUAUUUUUGAUGCAGCUCCAACUUCAAUAAUGUUUUAGUAAUACACCUAUAGAGCCUAAGCAAUAAGCCUUAUCCUCAACAAACUACACAGAAAUCAGUAUAUUCUGUGAAGAUAGAUGAAUUAUGGCAAAAUCUCAUUACCUCUGCAGAAAGCAGCUGCACUGUAGAAACAGUAGUGCUACUAUACACAGACACUACAAAUUACAAAUACUGUAUCAUGAGAAACAUUCUCAAUAACUGCAUUUCAAGUAAGGUUAACUGGGUUUACUUGUUUUGUGGGUGUAUAUAUUUAAAAUUUAUGUUAAAGGUGUCCUGAUAUGUACAGAAGGGUGAUUAGCAGCAGAAAAGAGCUGAACAAGAACAAAGAAAAUUAUUCUUGUCUUUCUUGCCAAAAGCUAGAUUGGGCAGAAUUACAAGAAAGGGGAAGGCAAAGUCCUGGAGUGAGACUCCGACCUUGCUGGGUGUCAGCAUAACUACUGUUCUGUCUCUGUUUAGGACGAAGAGACUGCAGUGUAAUUGAGUUUCCUCUUAACAAGGUCUAUUUUUAACUUUUAUUUUAUGAACUAUAGUCAUUCAAAAUGCACAGGUAUUGUGCUUCACUGAUCAUUCUAACAAAUACUCCUUUUUCAUAGUGCAUAUACUCACUGCUCUCCCUUUGACACAGCACCAGAGGGAACGUGGAGGCCUCAGUGUGUUGCCCAGGAGAGACUUUACCCAGGAGGGAGCUUGGGAAUUCAACACAGAAGUGCUCCAUGAGGCAGACCAAGCUGCAAGAUUUUCUAGUGCUGAAAUACAUACCAAACUGGAGAGUAAGGAGAAACAAGAUGGAUAUAAUUGGGUAAGAAGUGGAAUUUGACUGACUACUUGUUGCCAUUCAAGAAGGAAAAAAGUAUUCAAGAAAGACAAGGUAAGGUUAAUAAUGGUACUAAAAUGGUACUAAAAUGGUACGCUUGUACUCGUGGGGGACUUCAACUUCCCUGACAUAUCCUGGAAGCACAACACAGCCCAGAGGAAGCAGUCUAGGAGGUUUCUGGAGAGAGUGGAAGAUAGCUUCCUGACGCAGCUGA